AUUGAACGCUGGCGGCAGGCCUAACACAUGCAAGUCGAGCGGAUGAGAGGAGCUUGCUUCUCGAUUCAGCGGCGGACGGGUGAGUAAUGCCUAGGAAUCUGCCUGGUAGUGGGGGACAACGUUUCGAAAGGAACGCUAAUACCGCAUACGUCCUACGGGAGAAAGCAGGGGACCUUCGGGCCUUGCGCUACCAGAUGAGCCUAGGUCGGAUUAGUUAGUUGGUGAGGUAAUGGCUCACCAAGGCGACGAUCCGUAACUGGUCUGAGAGGAUGAUCAGUCACACUGGAACUGAGACACGGUCCAGACUCCUACGGGAGGCAGCAGUGGGGAAUAUUGGACAAUGGGCGAAAGCCUGAUCCAGCCAUGCCGCGUGUGUGAAGAAGGUCUUCGGAUUGUAAAGCACUUUAAGUUGGGAGGAAGGGUUGUAGAUUAAUACUCUGCAAUUUUGACGUUACCGACAGAAUAAGCACCGGCUAACUCUGUGCCAGCCGCCGCCGUAAAAC
rnacentral:rRNA from 1 species